UUUUAGUCCCGGUAGCAGCGGCAUCCUUUUGUGGCAUUGUUUGCCACAAAAGAUACAGCGGAUGACGGGAUUGGCU
rnacentral:sRNA from 1 species